rnacentral:rRNA from 1 species
AUUGAACGCUGGCGGCAGGCCUAACACAUGCAAGUCGAACGAGUGGCGGACGGGUGAGUAAUGCUUGGGAAUCUGGCUUAUGGCGGGGGAUAACUACGGGAAACUUUAGCUAAUACCGCGUACCAUAGGAUGAACCAAAGUGGGAUUAGGGAGUUGGUGAGGUAAAGGCUCACCAAGACGACGAUCUCUAGCGGGUCUGAGAGGAUGACCAGCCACACUGGGACUGAGAAACGGCCCAGACUCCUACGGGAGGCAGCAGUGGGGAAUAUUGCGCAAUGGGGGCAACCUGACGCAGCCAUGCCGCGUGAAUGAAGAAGGCCUUCGGGUUGUAAAGUUCUUUCGGUAGCGAGGCGUUAACUACAGAAGAAGCACCGGCUAACUCCGUGCCAGCAGCGCGGUAAUUC